rnacentral:rRNA from 1 species
CCUACGGGAGGCAGCAGUGGGGAAUAUUGCACAAUGGGCGCAAGCCUGAUGCAGCCAUGCCGCGUGUAUGAAGAAGGCCUUCGGGUUGUAAAGUACUUUCAGCGAGGAGGAAGGCGAUAAGGUUAAUAACCUUGUCGAUUGACGUUACUCGCAGAAGAAGCACCGGCUAACUCCGUGCCAGCAGCCGCGGUAAUACGGAGGGUGCAAGCGUUAAUCGGCAUUACUGGGCGUAAAGCGCACGCAGGCGGUCUGCCAAGUCGGAUGUGAAAUCCCCGGGCUCAACCUGGGAACUGCAUUCGAAACUGGCAGGCUAGAGUCUUGUAGAGGGGGGUAGAAUUCCAGGUGUAGCGGUGUAAUGCGUAGAGAUCUGGAGGAAUACCGGUGGCGAAGGCGGCCCCCUGGGCAAAGACUGACGCUCAGGUGCGAAAGCGUGGGGAGCAAACAGGAUUAGAUACCCGUGUAGUC